rnacentral:rRNA from 1 species
AUUGAACGCUGGCGGCAUGCCUUACACAUGCAAGUCGAACGGUAACGCGGGGCAACCUGGCGACGAGUGGCGAACGGGUGAGUAAUGUAUCGGAACGUGCCCAGUUGUGGGGGAUAACUGCUCGAAAGAGCAGCUAAUACCGCAUACGACCUGUGGGUGAACGCGGGGGAUCGCAAGACCGCGCGCAAUUGGAGGCGCCGAUAUCAGAUUAGGUCGUUGGUGGGGUAAAGGCUCACCAAGCCGACGAUCUGUAGCUGGUCUGAGAGGACGACCAGCCACACUGGGACUGAGACACGGCCCAGACUCCUACGGGAGGCAGCAGUGGGGAAUUUUGGACAAUGGACGCAAGUCUGAUCCAGCCAUGCCGCGUGCGGGAAGAAGGCCUUCGGGUUGUAAACCGCUUUUGUCAGGGAAGAAAAGGCUCCUUCUAAUAUAGGGGGCUCAUGACGGUACCUGAAGAAUAAGCACCGGCUAACUACGUGCCAGCCGCCGCCGUAAAAC